rnacentral:rRNA from 1 species
GACGAACGCUGGCGGCGUGCUUAACACAUGCAAGUCGAACGGAAAGGCCCUGCUUUUGUGGGGUGCUCGAGUGGCGAACGGGUGAGUAACACGUGAGUAACCUGCCCUUGACUUUGGGAUAACUUCAGGAAACUGGGGCUAAUACCGGAUAGGAGCUCCUGCUGCAUGGUGGGGGUUGGAAAGUUUCGGCGGUUGGGGAUGGACUCGCGGCUUAUCAGCUUGUUGGUGGGGUAGUGGCUUACCAAGGCUUUGACGGGUAGCCGGCCUGAGAGGGUGACCGGCCACAUUGGGACUGAGUUACGGCCCAGUCUCCUACGGGAGGCAGCAGUGGGGAAUAUUGCACAAUGGGCUGAAGCCUGAUGCAGCAACGCCGCGUGCGGGAUGACGGCCUUCGGGUUGUAAACCGCUUUCGCCUGUGACGAAGCGUGAGUGACGGUAAUGGGUAAAGAAGCACCGGCUAACUACGUG